GAUAAACGCUGGCGGCGCACAUAAGACAUGCAAGUCGAACGGACUUAAUCGAAAUAUUUAUAUUUGAAGCGGUUAGUGGCGGACUGGUGAGUAACGCGUAAGGAACCUGCCUAUUAGAGGGGAAUAACAGUGAGAAAUCAUUGCUAAUACCGCAUAUGCCAUAGAUAUCACAUGAUAACAGUGGGAAAGGAGCAAUCCGCUAAUAGAUGGCCUUGCGUCUGAUUAGAUAGUUGGUGGGGUAACGGCCUACCAAGUCGACGAUCAGUAGCCGGACUGAGAGGUUGAACGGCCACAUUGGGACUGAGAUACGGCCCAGACUCCUACGGGAGGCAGCAGUCGGGAAUAUUGCGCAAUGGAGGAAACUCUGACGCAGUGACGCCGCGUAUAGGAAGAAGGUUUUCGGAUUGUAAACUAUUGUCGUUAGGGAAGAGAAAGGACAGUACCUAAGGAGGAAGCUCCGGCUAACUACGUG
rnacentral:rRNA from 1 species